GGUGUCAUGCUUGUUCUACUGAAAAAUCUUGAUACCUGUAGGAUAAUUCAGAAACUGAUGAUAAACAUGUUCUUAAUAUUUUUGGAUUUCUGGGUUUGGGGCAAACAGUUGUUCACUGUUAUACCAAUGUGGUGCAUGGGCAGUGUUGUUGUCUUGUUACCAUUAGUAUAUAUGAUCACCUAUUGUUAGUGUGAUGUUAGCGUUAGCAUAUGGAGUCAACCAAGGUUGUUAGCAUAGUGUGUAGUCAUGCGUUCUUUCAGAUGGACAGUCAUUAUAAAUAAAUAAAUAAAAGUGCUAUCUUCACUUGUCAAUGUUCAUGAUAAAUUGUGCUUCUCCCCAAACACAGAAAUACAGUAAAUCCCUGAAAUUUUCAUCAUGAAUCAUGAUCAUGCUUUGCUCAUUUUUGCAAGUACCAUGUCACACCAAUAACACUGAAAGUACUGAGUGAGCCAAAACUGCAAGACUGGCAUGCGCUAAUGUGACAAACUGCAGUAGAAAGCAGCAGAAACUACAAAUAUAGAAAUAAAGAAAUAAAUGUCAUCACACGGAGCCAUGAAAGCCACCUAUAUGUCUUGAAAGGUUGGCUUGUUUUGCAUUAAUCUAGUGGAUGAGUCAUAUUGUGGCGGCGGAACAGUAGGCCUCGGUUAGCACUGUCUACUCAUAGCGAGGUUGUGGGUUUGAACCUUCUGUGUCGAGUUUGUGUUUUCUCCCUCUGCCUGCGUGGAUUCUCUGCAGAUUCCUCCCACAGAUUCUUCUAAUUGACGGCUCUAAAUUCUGUGCAUUUGUGAAUGUGGGUAUGGAUACUUGAAUGCAUAUGUUAGCCCUGUGAUACAAUGACAACCUGUGGGUGUAAUCUGCCUCUGUGCGCUGGAUACGCUCCAGACCCAUUGUCUGUAACCCACCCCCAUGACCCUCAGCAAGAUAAUAACAACACAUGGAUGGAUGGUUCGGAUCAUUUUGGGAGCCACGACAAAUCCUGUGCUUGUACAAAUAUCAAAAAGUAUGGUGUUAUUUGCUAAUAUCAGCAGGAG